AUCAAGGUACUUAUAUGAUAACACCUUGCAAUUUUUCUAUUUGUGAUAAUUCGACCUGGGUAUUGGAUACCGGUAGUCCUUUUAAUAUUUGCAAUUCGUUGCAGGGGCUACAAGUCAGUGAGAGAUUUGAAGAAAGAGAAAGGUUCCUGGAUGUUGGAGAUGGAAGAUCAGUUCCAGUUCUAGCUUUAGGAAUUCUUAAACUUGAAUUUAGCUCUCAUGUAAAUGUCCUUAGUGAUUGUCACUAUUGUCCAAGUUUUUUAUUGAAUGUCAUUUCUGUAGGCCUUUUGGUUAAAAA
rnacentral:lncRNA from 1 species